rnacentral:rRNA from 1 species
GACGUAGGGCGCGAGCGUUGUCCGGAUUUAUUGGGCGUAAAGAGCUCGUAGGCGGCUUGUCGCGUCGUCCGUGAAAACCUGCAGCUCAACUGCAGGCUUGCGGUCGAUACGGGCAGGCUGGAGUUCGGUAGGGGAGACUGGAAUUCCUGGUGUAGCGGUGAAAUGCGCAGAUAUCAGGAGGAACACCGGUGGCGAAGGCGGGUCUCUGGACAGUUCCUGACGCUGAGGCGCGAAGGCCAGGGGAGCAAACGGG